CUGUCGUUGCCUCACCGUGAUACCAGACACACAAUGACUAUAGAAACGAGGAGAGAGACAUUUGAACACAUUACCUUCUUUCUCUGUUCUGUUUCCGUGAUUUGUGCAGCAAUCCAAUCAGAACCACAGCUGCCCUGAUCCCAGCUUUUUUCGAAUGCAUUCUCUCCGUUGGCUGUGACAUAGUUACCAGACCCAAGUGCCACUGUCUCCAAAGGGAAAGUAACCAAACCUCAGCAUGAAAUUUAGCAAAACUGACUUGCCCCUCACCCCCGUCCCCACUUUCUCUCCCCUUUCCUUUAGUUGAGAUGUUUGCCGUAUGAUUGUGAUUAUUUAGAAUGUUGAGAUAGGUAUCUUUUACUCUAGUGACCUUCAAGUCACAAGUCACCGCCACCGUCCUCUUCCAGAUGGGACUCCAACUUCAGGCUUUCCUUUGUUUUUCCUUAAUGCUGGGUCUGCCAGUCGAAAGAAAAAUAACAGGAAAGUGACUUGUAAAUAGCAGUCUAAGUGCUGCAGCCUUUGCUACAGUCACCAGCUCAUCCCAGUGAGAAAAGCUGAGCUGUGGCUCCACCUGAGGACCCAACGCAAUGUCUCCGAGGGCUGUGAUUCACAGAUAUUCCAGUACAAGUUUUAUCUCAGAGACCAGAGAACGCCGAGGACUGUGAAGGUGUGAUUCUGCUUUCCAGAUCCAUAAUUUGCUAGGAGACAAAAACACAUCCAAACCCAAAGCUGACUAGGAACGUCAUGAAAUCAAAUCCCAUGGGAGAGAGGGAGAUAAACCAAACACACUUGCAUACAGGAAAGAAAGAAAGAAAGAAAGAAAGAAAAAAAGAAAGAAAACAAUAAAAAGCAAUGCCUUUGGGCUUGUCCUGCACCUGCUGGUUAAAAUAUUAACUUUCACUUGCAAG